CUGGCCGGGUGAGCGGUCACCUAACCUGAUGGGCUUGCCAGGCCAGCUGCGUCCCGAGAGCUGUACCCCUCCCUGGACUCGAGUGAGCCUGGCCUCGGGCUCCCGCUUUCCCCUGCCAAGCCCCCUCUGGAGCGGGAGCCCCUGCUGGGAGGUGAGAGGCCAGUCCACUCAGAACGUCAGUCUCAGCAGAGCCUCUGCCUGUGGCCUUCUAGAUAAACACAGCCGUGUUUGAAGAAUCCGCGGGGAGGUGUUCUGGCCUGGAGGGAGGGAAGGUUCUGGGCCUCCCUCUGAGUGAGCCGAGCCCUACCCAUUCCCAGGGCAAGUCCAGCCACGGUCCCUGUCUCUACCCACUGCCAUUUCCUGGCCCUUCGAGGGUCUUGCAAUGGGAGGUGGUGGCUCGGCCUGCCCUUGACCAUGAGCUGCAUUCGGGGAGGGUGCCCAGACCCCUGCGGAACGUGGGACUUCAUGGAAAAACUGAGCCCCGAGCACACAGAGAGGAAAUUCCAGGGUGCGUUCCUGGCAGACUUGUCUUGGAAGGCAGCUCUGGUUACUUUGGCCGCAGCCCAACGCUCUCGCUCUCCUCUCUGCACUGCCCUCCCACCCCGGCGUCAACCAGAGAGGAGCCCGAAGGCACAACGAGUCGAGCGGAGGGAGCAGUGGGACGGCCUUCACAGGCGCUCGCUGGUGCUGGCGGGAGGCCCCUGUGCCAGGCCGGGCGGCCAUAUCUGGGGCGCUCAGGCCUGCCUUCUCUCUCUCCUGAGGAGCAGAGUCCUGCUAAGCACCGCCGGGUGAGUUAGCACCGCCUACGAGCGCUCCUGGACCCAGGCUCCCGGCUGGUGCUCUGCCUCUGGUGGCCACCACACUGACCUCUACUGUGGCCGCUUCACUGCUCCUGGUCUCUGCACCCGCUUCUUCCAUGUCUUACAACACGGGUGGAUUCACUUACUGGCUUGAUCUUUUCCUCUGCUGUGCAGAGUUCCACGGUAUGAACAAGUCCACCUGUGCACACCCUGGGACCACCUGUGGGCAGCUCCCGUUCCUGGGCUGCAGUUAAGCCACUGUGAAGCUAGAAGCGUGGGCGGCACCCCUGUGACUGGGCUCCCACACUCGUGAGGGAAUUAAAUAUGCCCACGAGACGAUACAGUCCUUAACACCCCACUCCACAGAUGAGGCACUGAGCUCAGAAGCCUUGGUGCUGGUCCCAAGCCCCAGUCAGAGCAGCGUGGGGUCCAACCCUCCACGUGGCUCAACCCAAGCCCUCUGCAGAUGGCACAGCAUUCAGGAGGGGAGUGGGGACCUACUGGGCAGGGGUCCCCCUUGUCCUGUGUGGGGACACCUACCUUGUCCCUGUGGCCUUCAUGCUUGCUGCCCUCUCUGACCCUCCUGACUGGAGGGAGCCCACACAGCUGUAUUCACUCUCCCUGGAAAGGCAGGUCUCUUGGGCGUCCGUGAAGUCCCUGCGAGUCCUGCGGCAGCAGCUCAAGCCUGGUGUCCAACGCACAGCCCAGGCUGGCUGUGUGGGGGACGUGGGCGAGGGCUGCCACGCUUGGGAGCCUUCGCAGUGCGGACCCUGCGGCCCUCAGCCUGCUGGCCCAAGCUGGGCUGCCGCUCUCCCUGGCCACGCAGGUGCAGCUGUGGCCUUGGAUGUGUUGCGGGGGUGGUGAUGGAUAAGCCACAGGAACCCAGCUCAGGCCCAGGGGCCAGCUGGGCUUGGGCUCCCACGGUCCCAGCUCUGGAAGCUCUGUACCCCAGGCUGGGGUCCGAGGCUGCAGCUGAGGCCCUGGGGGCCAGAUCUGUUUCGGAAUUCAGUGUCUGUCGAGUUGAGAAUGUGAACCGCGGGCUUAGGCUGUAAGUCACUGACACUCCUCUGCGGGACCCUGCGCAGGAUGAGUUUGUGGUCAUUUAUUGCCUCUAAAGAAGACUAGAAAACGGCCCGGGGAAGGCCUGUGUGGACGCCGGUUUUGGCAGGACCAUGCCCGUCGGGAGGAAGUCUCGUCUGGGGUUGGGAUGUUUCUGCCCCUCCGAGCAGCAAGCUGCUUCCAGCCCAGAUUCCCAGGACAAACCCGGACCUGGAGCGCUUCCACCCCGAGGGCAGUGCAGGCAGGCGGGCGUGGGAGACGCCCCUCGGAGGACCUCGCUUCCCGUGCACCGAUGGGCUCUUGUGGGGGAGCUGGGCAGCCUCUCCCUGAAGGUCCUCCUGGGAGCACUGACCACACUCGUUCCUGAAGAAGAAAGUUGAGAAAAGAGGACAGAGAAGAAAGGAGGGUGCUGCCUCCUGUCACCUUAGGAGGGUCAGGGCUGCCCUCAGUGGUCAGCGGGUCUGAGCAGAGGUGCUGCAGGUGUCAGUGCACGCUGGACUUGGAAGGCCGUGUGAGAAAGAAGAGCACGGGACAUCCCACUAUUUAUGCGGACUGCAGAGUGAGAUGACAGUGUUUUGGGAAUCUCGGACUAAUAAUUUUAUUUCUGUUUACUUUUUUAACAUGUCCACAAUAAACUUGAAACUAC